ACGUAGGGGGCAAGCGUUGUCCGGAAUCACUGGGCGUAAAGAGCACGUAGGCGGUCUAUUAAGUUAGAUGUGAAAGUUUGCAGCUUAACUGUAAAAGUGCAUCUAAUACUGGCAGACUUGAGUCUCGGAGAGGUAAGCGGAAUUCCUAGUGUAGCGGUGAAAUGCUUAGAGAUGAGGAAGAACACCGGUGGCGAAGGCGGCUUACUGGAUGAGUACUGACGCUCAGGUGCGAAAGCGUGGGGAGCAAACAG
rnacentral:rRNA from 1 species